GAUGAACGCUGGCGGCGUGCCUAAUACAUGCAAGUCGAGCGAACGGACGAGAAGCUUGCUUCUCUGAUGUUAGCGGCGGACGGGUGAGUAACACGUGGAUAACCUACCUAUAAGACUGGGAUAACUUCGGGAAACCGGAGCUAAUACCGGAUAAUAUUUUGAACCGCAUGGUUCAAAAGUGAAAGACGGUCUUGCUGUCACUUAUAGAUGGAUCCGCGCUGCAUUAGCUAGUUGGCAAGGUAACGGCUUACCAAGGCAACGAUGCAUAGCCGACCUGAGAGGGUGAUCGGCCACACUGGAACUGAGACACGGUCCAGACUCCUACGGGAGGCAGCAGUAGGGAAUCUUCCGCAAUGGGCGAAAGCCUGACGGAGCAACGCCGCGUGAGUGAUGAAGGUCUUCGGAUCGUAAAACUCUGUUAUUAGGGAAGAACAUAUGUGUAAGUAACUGUGCACAUCUUGACGGUACCUAAUCAGAAAGCCACGGCUAACUACGUGCCAGCAGCCGCGGUAAUACGUAGGUGGCAAGCGUUAUCCGGAAUUAUUGGGCGUAAAGCGCGCGUAGGCGGUUUUUUAAGUCUGAUGUGAAAGCCCACGGCUCAACCGUGGAGGGUCAUUGGAAACUGGAAAACUUGAGUGCAGAAGAGGAAAGUUGAAUUCCAUGUGUAGCGGUGAAAUGCGCAGAGAUAUGGAGGAACACCAGUGGCGAAGGCGACUUUCUGGUCUGUAACUGACGCUGAUGUGCGAAAGCGUGGGGAUCAAACAGGAUUAGAUACCCUGGUAGUCCACGCCGUAAACGAUGAGUGCUAAGUGUUAGGGGGUUUCCGCCCCUUAGUGCUGCAGCUAACGCAUUAAGCACUCCGCCUGGGGAGUACGACCGCAAGGUUGAAACUCAAAGGAAUUGACGGGGACCCGCACAAGCGGUGGAGCAUGUGGUUUAAUUCGAAGCAACGCGAAGAACCUUACCAAAUCUUGACAUCCUUUGACAACUCUAGAGAUAGAGCCUUCCCCUUCGGGGGACAAAGUGACAGGUGGUGCAUGGUUGUCGUCAGCUCGUGUCGUGAGAUGUUGGGUUAAGUCCCGCAACGAGCGCAACCCUUAAGCUUAGUUGCCAUCAUUAAGUUGGGCACUCUAAGUUGACUGCCGGUGACAAACCGGAGGAAGGUGGGGAUGACGUCAAAUCAUCAUGCCCCUUAUGAUUUGGGCUACACACGUGCUACAAUGGACAAUACAAAGGGCAGCGAAACCGCGAGGUCAAGCAAAUCCCAUAAAGUUGUUCUCAGUUCGGAUUGUAGUCUGCAACUCGACUACAUGAAGCUGGAAUCGCUAGUAAUCGUAGAUCAGCAUGCUACGGUGAAUACGUUCCCGGGUCU
rnacentral:rRNA from 1 species